AGAGGAGCUUGCUCCUCGGAACAGUGGCGGACGGGUGAGUAACACGUGAGCAACCUGGCUCUAAGAGGGGGACAACAGUUGGAAACGACUGCUAAUACCGCAUAACGUAUCGGGAUGGCAUCUUCCUGAUACCAAGGAUUUUAUCGCUUAGAGAUGGGCUCGCGUCUGAUUAGAUAGUUGGCGGGGUAACGGCCCACCAAGUCGACGAUCAGUAGCCGGACUGAGAGGUUGAACGGCCACAUUGGGACUGAGACACGGCCCAGACUCCUACGGGAGGCAGCAGUGGGGGAUAUUGGACAAUGGGGGCAACCCUGAUCCAGCGACGCCGCGUGAGGGAAGAAGGUUUUCGGAUUGUAAACCUCUGUUGACGGAGAAAAAAAUGAUGGUAUCCGUUUAGAAAGCCACGGCUAACUACGUGCCAGCAGCCGCGGUAAUACGUAGGUGGCAAGCGUUGUCCGGAAUUACUGGGUGUAAAGGGAGUGUAGGCGGGAUAGCAAGUCAGAAGUGAAAAUUACGGGCUCAACUCGUAACCUGCUUUUGAAACUGACAUUCUUGAGUGAAGUAGAGGCAAGCGGAAUUCCUAGUGUAGCGGUGAAAUGCGUAGAUAUUAGGAGGAACACCAGUGGCGAAGGCGGCUUGCUGGGCUUUUACUGACGCUGA
rnacentral:rRNA from 1 species